rnacentral:rRNA from 1 species
AUGGAUAGGUAUUCUACCAAACCCUGUAUUUUCGAUGGUGUUGAUUUUCAGUUCUGGAAGGCGAAGAUGAAGGCAUACAUCAUGGCGCAAAGUUACGCCAUCUGGGAGAAAGUCGCCAAGCCCUACGUGCUUCCCGCAGACGAUGCAAUUACGCCAGCAAACUUGGUUCAUGUGGAGAACAACUACAAGGCGAGGAACUUCAUCAUCCAAGGUCUACAACGGAGUGACUUCGACCGUGUCUCUCACCUUGCAUCCGCUCAUGAGGUAUGGAACACACUUUGUAGCUAUCAUGAAGGAUCAAACUCAGUUAAGGAAGUGCGUCAGGACAUGUAUAAAAAGGAGUACAUGAGGUUUGAGAUGAAAACAGGUGAAUCUUUGGAUGAAUUUUUUGCUCGCUUUAAUAAGAUUCUCAGCAAUCUACGUGCAUUAGGUGUUACCUAUACUGAUGCUGAGACUUCUAGGCAGCUUUUGAGUGCUUUAGAUAUGUCCAUCUGGGAGAUGAAAGUUACAUCUAUUAGAGAGUCUACUGUCAUGAGCACACUUACACUUGAUAUCUUAUAUUCAAAACUGAAAACUCAUGAAUUAGAUAUUCUUGCUAGGAGAACUGGUUCUAAAUCAAUUGCUCUUGUUACUAACCCUAGCAACUCUAAUGAUGGUAUUUAUUCGCAUUGCUAUGCACUGUCUUCUUUGUCUCAACUAACCGAUGAACAGCUAGAGCAAUGUCCAGAAGAAGAGUUGGCACUCCUCACUUCUCGUUUUUCACGUGCCCUACAAAAUGUUCGCUCGAGGAAGAGAGGUGGGAACAACAUUCCAAGGUGUUUUGAAUGUGGUGAUCCCAACCACUUUCGCCAAAGCUGCCCCAAGUUUUUAUCCAAGAUGGCGAAAGAAGGGGAUAGGGAUAAUUAUGUCAAGGAGGAAAAGAAGAAUAAGCGCACUUUCAACAUUAAGAAUAAGAAGAGGGGUGACUUUGCUCGAGCGGUGGCUCACAGUAUUUUCUCGGUCAUCAAUGAAUAUGGUGAACCAUGCUUGAGUGAUGUGGACAUCGAAUCCGAUGAAGAUGAUGCAACCAAAGCCAAGAGCGACAUUAGUGGGAUGUGUCUUAUGGCUGGUAGCAAAAGUGCUACCUCCUGCGACGACUACGACAGCGACAACAACAAUGAGGCACUUCGCGCGAGGAAGGAGAACAUAUGGCUAGUGGACUCCGGUUGUUCUCGUCACAUGACCGGUGAUAAAAAAUGGUUCUCCUCCCUCACACGUGCAUCUCGGGCUGAGAGUGUAACUUUUGGAGAUGCUUCUACUUCUACUGUUGUAGCGAAAGGUACAGUAAAGGUAACCGACAAAUUUAUGUUCAAAGAUGUUGCUUUGGUUGAGAAUCUGAAAUACAACGUGUUGUCGGUUUCACAAAUGAUUGAUGAGGAUCUUGAAGUUUCAUUUAAGAAAAAUGCUUGCAAAGUUUUAGAUGCUUCAGGUGAUCUUGUCUUUGAGAUAUCACGCUUUGGGAGAGUUUUUAAGGCUGAUUUUCAUGCUUCUUCAAAUGUUAAGUUUAGGUGUCUAGUUGCCAAUACAUCUACAGAUUUAUUCUUUUGGCAUCGUAGACUUGGGCAUAUUGGUUUUGAUCAUCUCACUCGUAUAAGUGGUAUGAAUCUUAUAAAUGGUUUGCCUAAACUUAAGAGAGAAAAAGAUAUUGUAUGCUCUCCUUGUAGACAUGGUAAGAUGGUUGCAGGUUCACAUGCACGCAUUACCAGUGUCAUGACUAACGCUCCAGGACAGCUUCUACAUCUUGAUACGGUUGGUCCAUCAAGGGUACAAUCUUUUGGGGGGGGAGGAAAUCUUUGUAGAUGA